rnacentral:ribozyme from 12 species
CGUUUUUUUUUUUUUUUUUUUUUCCCUUUUUUUUUUUUG